AUUGAACGCUGGCGGCAGGCAUAACACAUGCAAGUCGAGCGAGCGGCGGACGGGUGAGUAAUGUAUGGGAAACUGCCUGAUGGAGGGGGAUAACUACUGGAAACGGUAGCUAAUACCGCAUACCAUCAGAUGUGCCCAGAUGGGAUUAGCUAGUAGGUGGGGUAACGGCUCACCUAGGCGACGAUCCCUAGCUGGUCUGAGAGGAUGACCAGCCACACUGGACCUGAGAAACGGCCCAGACUCCUACGGGAGGCAGCAGUGGGGAAUAUUGCAAAAGGGGGGCAAGCCUGAUGCAGCCAUGCCGCGUGUGUGAAGAAGGCCUUCGGGUUGUAAAGCACUUUCAGUGGGGAGGCGUUACCCGCAGAAGAAGCACCGGCUAACUCCGUGCCAGCAGCCGCGGUAAUAC
rnacentral:rRNA from 1 species